rnacentral:rRNA from 1 species
AGAGUUUGAUCAUGGCUCAGAGCGAACGCUGGCGGCAGGCUUAACACAUGCAAGUCGAGCGGGCGUAGCAAUACGUCAGCGGCAGACGGGUGAGUAACGCGUGGGAACAUACCUUUUGGUUCGGAACAACCCAGGGAAACUUGGGCUAAUACCGGAUAAGCCCUUAACGGGGAAAGAUUUAUCGCCGAAAGAUUGGCCCGCGUCUGAUUAGCUAGUUGGUGAGGUAACGGCUCACCAAGGCGACGAUCAGUAGCUGGUCUGAGAGGAUGAUCAGCCACAUUGGGACUGAGACACGGCCCAAACUCCUACGGGAGGCAGCAGUGGGGAAUAUUGGACAAUGGGCGCAAGCCUGAUCCAGCCAUGCCGCGUGAGUGAUGAAGGCCCUAGGGUUGUAAAGCUCUUUUGUGCGGGAAGAUAAUGACGGUACCGCAAGAAUAAGCCCCGGCUAACUUCGUGCCAGCAGCCGCGGUAAUACGAAGGGGGCUAGCGUUGCUCGGAAUCACUGGGCGUAAAGGGUGCGUAGGCGGGUCUUUAAGUCAGGGGUGAAAUCCUGGAGCUCAACUCCAGAACUGCCUUUGAUACUGAAGAUCUUGAGUUCGGGAGAGGUGAGUGGAACUGCGAGUGUAGAGGUGAAAUUCGUAGAUAUUCGCAAGAACACCAGUGGCGAAGGCGGCUCACUGGCCCGAUACUGACGCUGAGGCACGAAAGCGUGGGGAGCAAACAGGAUUAGAUACCCUAGUAGUCC